UUAAUGGAUCAUAACAGCAGGUAU
rnacentral:miRNA from 1 species